GAUGGACGCUGGCGGCAUGCCUAACACAUGCAAGUCGAUCGGUAAGGCUCUUCGGAGUACCCGAGAGGCGGACGGCUGAGUAACGCGUAGGAACACACCCUGCAGUGAGGGAUAAGACACCGAAAGGUGUUCUAAUACCGCAUACGGUCUUCGGAUUAAAGCAUUUAUGCGCUGAAGGAGUGGCCUGCGUCAUAUUAGAUAGUUGGUGAGGUAAUGGCUCACCAAGUCGAUGAUGUGUAGCUGGUCUGAGAGGAUGAUCAGCCAGACUGGAACUGAGACACGGUCCAGACUCCUACGGGAGGCAGCAGUGAGGAAUAUUUCACAAUGAGCGAAAGCUUGAUGGAGCAAUGCCGCGUGCAGGAUGAAGGCCCUCGGGUUGUAAACUGCUUUUAUAAGAGAAGAUUAUGACGGUAACUUAUGAAUAAGGGACGGCUAACUACGUG
rnacentral:rRNA from 1 species